UACGAAGGGGGCUAGCGUUGCUCGGAAUCACUGGGCGUAAAGGGUGCGUAGGCGGGUCUUUAAGUCAGGGGUGAAAUCCUGGAGCUCAACUCCAGAACUGCCUUUGAUACUGAGGAUCUUGAGUUCGGGAGAGGUGAGUGGAACUGCGAGUGUAGAGGUGAAAUUCGUAGAUAUUCGCAAGAACACCAGUGGCGAAGGCGGCUCACUGGCCCGAUACUGACGCUGAGGCACGAAAGCUAGGGGAGCAAACAGG
rnacentral:rRNA from 1 species